UAAUCUUUACCUUCUAAGUGAGCAGGGCAGAAGAAUGAAGAAAGUAAAGCCUGCAGUUUAACAUCUGCUUUCAAAGUGGCUUUUUCUACAUGGUCUUAUCUUGUUAUGGAGUAAUUUGCAUGGUACCUCUGUCCAAUCCUGUUCUCAUUAAUUAGUUUGUCACUUGUGGUAGAAGAAAAUUCCUGUCUGUGUAUCUUUAGCUGGAAUACCCGACAGCACUAUUGACUGGAGCUGUCAUGAUGAAGUGUGGGGUUUCCAGGAAUGAUAAGGAUUUCUGACUCGCACAGAUAAUAAUGAAAUAGUUGGGAAGAACAGAAGCCUUGGUUCCCAGGUCUGCCUCCAAGUUCCUCAGUUUAUUCAGAGGGGUAUCCUCUACUAGUAGAGAUCUGGUGAUACUU